rnacentral:rRNA from 1 species
UACGUAGGCAGCAAGCGUUGUUCGGAUUUACUGGGCGUAAAGAGUGCGUAGGUGGUGCCCUAAGUCUGUUGUGAAAUCUCCCGGCUUAACUGGGAGGGUGCGGUGGAAACUGGGGUGCUUGAGUGUGGGAGAGGUAAGCGGAAUUCCUGGUGUAGCGGUGAAAUGCGUAGAUAUCAGGAGGAACACCGGUGGUGUAGACGGCUUACUGGACCACGACUGACACUGAGGCACGAAAGCGUGGGUAGCAAACAGG